GUUGGUGAACCAGCGGAGGGAUCAUUACAGGGUCUGACGACUGCCCAAACCACACCGUGCACUCUUUUUACUACAAUGCUUCGGCGGGUCGCUCGCUGGGGGAGCCCACCGGCCGCGGAAACGCGGUGGCCCGCCGAGGCAUGCCCCAAACCAUGAAAACAACUUUCUGAAUAUCAUCUACUCCGAACGGAGAAGAAAUAAGUCACAACUCAUAACAAUGGAUCUCUUGGUUCUGGCAUCGAUGAAGAAC
rnacentral:misc_RNA from 1 species